CUCUCUCUCUCUCUCUCUCUGCCCCUCCCCUGCUGUGCUCUCUCAAAAAAUAAACACUUUUUUAAAAGCGGAAUUCUCGAAAUGGCGCUGAAAUGAAUCUCCACAUCCCUAGCUGCUGCUCCCUGCCUCCACGUACCAUUCAGCCAAUAGCCAGCCUCCCAAGUCAUUGUCUGGAAGCACUGCUUUCCUCAGGUUCCUCAUUUGCUUUUCAGUGGCUUGUCAUCACCUCAAACAUACACCACCAACUUUAUAAUCUGCCAUUCAGAGCCCUCUGCGUACAGGCACAAUUUAUCUCUCCCGUGCAACUCCACCACACAGUCCGGGGUCUCUCCCCUCCAACCAACACCAAAGGCUCACUGACCCCGGACACGACAGCCAUUUCUAUGUGACUGAGGGGUUUUGACAAGAAUGAGUGCUGAAUUUUGUCACGUGACUUUUCUGCAUGUGUCGAAAUGAGCCUAUAUUGGUUUCUCAGGGCUGCUGGGACAAAGUGCCCCAAACUGGGUGGCUUGAAGGAGUAGGCUUUGUUAAGUCACGGUUGUGGAGGCUGGAUGCCUGAGAUCUGGGUGUCGGCAGGACCACGCCCCUUCUGAAACCCCUUUGGGGAGGCCUUCCUUGCCUCUCACUAGUUUCUGGUGGGUUGUCAGUGAUCUUCGGUCUUCCUUCCAGCCGUGUAGCCCCAAGUUUCUGCUUUCAUCAGCAAUGGCGGUCUCCCUGUGUGUCUGUCUUCACGCAGCGGUCUUCUUAGAAGCACACGAGUCCGAUGGAUCGGGACCCACCUACUCCAGUAGGACCUCACCUUAACUAACUACACCUGCAGUGACUCUGUUUCCCAAAUAAGGUCACAUUCUGAGAAGGAAGGAAGGGAGCUGGUGGGCUGUGAGCUGUCCCAUGGAGAGACCCGUAUGGCAAGGAAGAGAGGGUGGCCCCUGGCCAAUAGCCCACGAAGAAUGGAAAUCUACCAGUCACCACUUCAGUGAUUUUAGAAGCUGAUCUACCUUCGGUUGAGCCUUGAGGUGACUGCAACCUUGUGAGAAACCCAGAGCCAGAGGACCCAGUUAAGAUGUUCCUUGGAUUCCUGACCCACAGAAACUUCAUGAUAAUAAAUGUUGUUGUUUUAAGCCA